UCCUCCAAGCUCAGUGGUAGAGCAUCCAACCGCACCUGGAAGGUCAUGGGUUCGAUUCCCGUUGGGGAGCUCUGAA
rnacentral:tRNA from 1 species